rnacentral:rRNA from 1 species
AUUGAACGCUGGCGGCAUGCUUUACACAUGCAAGUCGGACGGCAGCGGGGUAGUGCUUGCACUACUGCCGGCGAGUGGCGAACGGGUGAGUAAUAUAUUGGAACGUACCGAGUAAUGGGGGAUAACCAAUCGAAAGAUUGGCUAAUACCGCAUACGCUCUGAGAGGAAAGCAGGGGACCUUCGGGCCUUGCGUUAUUCGAGCGGCCAAUAUCUGAUUAGCUAGUUGGUGGGGUAAAGGCCUACCAAGGCGACGAUCAGUAGCGGGUCUGAGAGGAUGAUCCGCCACACUGGGACUGAGACACGGCCCAGACUCCUACGGGAGGCAGCAGUGGGGAAUUUUGGACAAUGGGCGCAAGCCUGAUCCAGCCAUGCCGCGUGUCUGAAGAAGGCCCUCGGGUUGUAAAGGACUUUUGUUAGGGAAGAAAAAGGAGCGGUUAAUACCCGUUUUUGCUGACGGUACCUAAAGAAUAAGCACCGGCUAACUACGUG